UACGUAGGGGGCAAGCGUUGUCCGGAAUCAUUGGGCGUAAAGCGCGUGUAGGCGGCCCGGUCAGUCCGCUGUGAAAGUCGGGGGCUCAACCCUCGAAUGCCGGUGGAUACUGUCGGGCUAGAGUGCGGAAGAGGCGAGUGGAAUUCCUGGUGGAGCGGUGAAAUGCGCAGAUAUCAGGAGGAACACCGAUUGCGAAGGCAGCUCGCUGGGACGUAACUGACGCUGAGGCACGAAAGCUAGGGGAGCAAACAGG
rnacentral:rRNA from 1 species